AGUUAUUUAUUGACAGUCAAACGAACUGUGUCUUACUUUUGCAAAUUCUUCGAGCUUCCUUAAUAUUUGUAGAUGGUGCUCCAUAAAGUAUACUUGAUGACGGCUAACGGAAUCGCAUUAGGAUGUUCGAAUUGGGAAUACUAUGUUAUUUAAAGACUUUUCGCAGAUUUUAUUGGCCAAAUAAAUGUUGACCAUUUUACAAGUCAUAAGUGAGGUAAAUCUGUUUAAGGGUCGCUAAGUAAGUGGCCUUUUCUGGCUGCCAACUUUCACUUGAUUCCCGAUCGCAGCAUACCACCCCCUCUUUAAGACUCCUUUAAUGCUCGCGCACGCAAUGUGUCCCCCAGCAGGAUGCAUCCUGGGAGCGCCAGCUCCCGCUUCUCGGAAGGCCGAUAAGCCGACGCUAUCAACGCCUUACAUCCGCGCGUGUCUGGGCAAUGGGUUUACCCCUGCCCACCGCAUCGCGCAUCCUUAGCUCCACCCGCUUCCAGCAUCCUGCAUCCGCUUCCGCUGCAUCUGCCGGAGCUUGCUAUCCUGCUUUAGCCAGAUUUACAACCAAGCGAACUUCGCAAAUUCCGUUGCUGCACGGAGAUAAAAUCGUUAUGCUUAUGCAAAUUUUAUAAGCAAUUGUAGGGUUUAGAAAUGUAUUUAUAGUUUUUUUUAAAAGCUAUUUUUGGUGUCGAGUAAGUGUCAUCAGUAUUUGGAAUUAUUACAUCUUUUGGCUUAAGUACUGACCAAAUCUUUGCAUUUUUUAAGGUGUGUGAGAGUGUGUGCUAAGCUGCGGCCCCGCCGGAAAGUGAAAUGCUUAUGAAAGCGUCCGGCUGCCCCAGCCACCCAGCUAUUUGACCUUCUUUGGCGCAUUUGCCAUGCAAAAUUUAAUAUAUAACCGUAAGUGAGCUUGGAUUCCUGCUAAUUUGCCAGUUGAAGUAUGCUCGAAAAGGAAGUCCCAGGGAUGCGGGCUGCAAAGUAUGUGUGGAUAUCCUCUUUUCCGGCUCUUAGCCCUUACAGAUUCUAGUGUUCCAAAAAAAAAGAUAAACAAUGAAGUCUUGACCCAGUUCGGAGUUGCUUUUUGCGCUGCCCGCUGUCAUCAUCAUCUAUGUGGUGUGGGUGGUGCCAAAUCCACCAACUUUACAUACAAAAACGGACGCUUACCAAAAUUGAGACAGCUACCGGGAAUACAUGGUGGUACGAGCUAACCCGAUACAUUUUCUUUAGAUUUUUUCCUUUUUCUUUUUUUUUUUUUUGGGUUGGUUGAUAUAGGGCAAAGUGCAGUCAGACAGUCAUUGGAUCAUUUGUCUUGGCAUUGUUGCUUUUUCCUCUACAUUUCUUUUUUGGUCGUUCGUUUUUAUAUAAAGCUGCGGGUCUUUCUUCAGGCAUUUCAGUUCAAAGGGUCAGAUAAAGAAA
ensembl:ncRNA lncRNA:CR44503 long non-coding RNA:CR44503